GACGAACGCUGGCGGCGUGCCUAAUACAUGCAAGUUGAGCGCUGAAGGUUGGUACUUGUACCCACUGGAUGAGCAGCGAACGGGUGAGUAACGCGUGGGGAAUCUGCCUUUGAGCGGGGGACAACAUUUGGAAACGAAUGCUAAUACCGCAUAAAAACUUUAAACACAAGUUUUAAGUUUGAAAGAUGCAAUUGCAUCACUCAAAGAUGAUUCCGCGUUGUAUUAGCUAGUUGGUGAGGUAAAGGCUCACCAAGGCGAUGAUGCAUAGCCGACCUGAGAGGGUGGUCGGCCACAAUGGGACUGAGACACGGCCCAAACUCCUACGGGAAGCAGCAGUAGGGAAUCUUCGGCAAUGGACGAAAGUCUGACCGAGCAACGCCGCGUGAGUGAAGAAGGUUUUCGGGUCGUAAAACUCUGUUGGUAGAGAAGAACGUUGGUGAGAGUGGAAAGCUCAUCAAGUGACGGUAACUACCCAGAAAGGGACGGCUAACUACGUG
rnacentral:rRNA from 1 species